AAAGUUGGUCACAAAGCUGGCCAAGGUCGGUUACAAAGUCCAAUGGCCUUGUCAAUUGAGGCCGGAAUAAGAAACAGCAGAAGAAUGUCUCAGGUUAGUUAGGC